rnacentral:rRNA from 1 species
UACGGGGGGGGGGCAAGCGUUGUUCGGAAUUACUGGGCGUAAAGGGCUCGUAGGUGGCCAACUAAGUCAGACGUGAAAUCCCUCGGCUUAACCGGGGAACUGCGUCUGAUACUGGAUGGCUUGAGUUCGGGAGAGGGAUGCAGAAUUCCAGGUGUAGCGGUGGAAUGCGCAGAUAUCAGGAGGAACACCGGUGGCGAAGGCGGGAUCCUGGGCCAGUACUGACGCUGAGGAGCGAAAGCGUGGGGAGCAAACAGG